UAUUGUUGGUGCACUGGGCGCGGCGCGCCGCCUCGCGUGCGGCCUGGACGGCGGGCAGCAGCAGGGCGAUCAGGACGCCGAUGAUGGC
rnacentral:tRNA from 1 species